rnacentral:rRNA from 1 species
UGCUUAACACAUGCAAGUCGAACGAUGAGAAAGAGCUUGCUCUUUCGAUUAGUGGCGGACGGGUGCGUAACGCGUAGGAAUCUGCCUAUUAGUGGGGGACAACUUAGGGAAACUUAAGCUAAUACCGCAUACGCCCUACGGGGGAAAGGAGGGGAUCGCAAGACCUUUCGCUAAUAGAUGAGCCUGCGUAGGAUUAGCUAGUUGGUGGGGUAAAGGCUCACCAAGGCGACGAUCCUUAACUGGUUUGAGAGAAUGAUCAGUCACACUGGAACUGAGACACGGUCCAGACUCCUACGGGAGGCAGCAGUGGGGAAUAUUGGACAAUGGGCGAAAGCCUGAUCCAGCAAUACCGCGUGUGUGAAGAAGGCCUUUGGGUUGUAAAGCUC